rnacentral:lncRNA from 1 species
UCAGAAAAUCGUUUUACAGAGUAUGAUAAACCAGUAAGUGCAUAAAAGAGCACGUUGUCAGUUGUGUAUGUUUACAGAUAAACUAUGAUUAGCAUUCCCAGUUUCAUUCUUGUUAAAGAUGCUGUUGGAGCCGAAAUUUCUUACAUCAGCAGAUUCCAAGACAGGUUAAAUCAAAGUAUCCUAUGGUGCCAGUCUAAGUUUAGACAGUUUAGCUGUUUCUAUCUAUUUUUACCCAAUUCGGCCACCUGUGCCACUGAGUUUGGGUGUUCUUCUGCCCUCUGGCCUGUCAUCUCCAGGCUGGAUUGGAAUGAAGGGACAACCUCGAAUCAUCCUGAACUGCCCGAGCCUGGUUUUCUCCCUGAUAAACAGAGAUGUGGGCUAGUCAGCAUCCCAGACGGCAGGUGGGAUUUGCCAGCAGUUAGAAACAGUGUCAUCACAGUCUUUGUUGAGAAGGAACAAAGGCUUAGCUGGAAGCAAUAUUGAUCAUGUACUCUACGUGGGAGUCAAGUGAUCAUCUGGUGCCAGGUGCCCCAAAUACUUUUCCUAACAACCCUCAAAAGUCAAGUUAACGUGUGUGUGUGUGUGCGCGCGAAGGGAAGUUUGCUGUACAUAUAUGAAUGCAUUGCUCAAGUUCUUAUUCCAUUCCAUUCAUCUAUCUUAAUGCCAAUAUAACUUUCCUUCCUUCUUUUUUCCUUCCUUCCUUCCUUCUUCCUGGCCAUGCCCGUGGCAUGCAGGAGUUCCCAGACCAGGGAUCAAACUCAUGCCAUAGCCCCAACCUAAGUCAUGGCAGCGACAACACCAGGUCCUUAACCCACUGAUCCACCAGGGAACUCUACAGUCUUGAUUUGUAUAGCUUGAAUUUGUCUUGAAAUCGGGUCACGUGAGACCCCUAAAUUUGUUGUUCUUUUUUGAAAAAAAAAUUUUUUUUUGGUUAUUCUAGGUUCAUUAAGUUUAUGGGUGAAUUUUAGAAUAAGUUUAUCAAUUUUUUUUUAGUCUUUUCUUUUUAAGGCCACACCUGUGACAUAUGGAAGUUCCCAGGCCAGGGGUUGAAUAAGAGCUGUAGCUGCCAGCUUACACCACAGCCACAGCAACACAAGAUCUGAGCCACAUCCAUGACCUAUACAGCAGCUUUCAGCAAUGCUGAAUUCUUAACCCACUGAGCGAGGUCAGGGAUCGAACCCACAUCCUUACAAAGACAACACUGGGUCCUUAAUCCACUGAGCCACAAUAGGAACUCUAAGUUUACCAGUUCUGACCAUAAAAUAUCCUUCUAGGCUUUCAACUAGAAUUGUGUUGAAUCUAUCUGAAGACUGAUUUGGAGAGACUCAACAUCAUGAUAAUACAUAGUCUUCCAACCCAUGAACAUUUUAACCUUUUCAUUUAAUCAGGGCUUUUUCAAAUUCUCUCAGCAAUUAUUUUUGGUAGUUUUCAGCACACAGGCUUUGCACAUCUUUUUCAGAAUUAUUCCAAAGUUUUCAUACUUUUGAUAUUCUUGUAAUUGGGAUUGUUUUCUUCAUUUCAAUUUUUGAGUGUUCAUUGCAUAUAGAAAUAUAAUUUAGAUACUGGUUCUUUAACUUACAAGCACGCUAAGUGCACAUUAUAGUUCUAGUAGCUGCAUAUAUACCAUUAGAUUUUCUACACAGAUGAUUUUAACAUCUGCAAAUACAGUUUUAAUUCUUUCUUUCUAAUCUGGAGGUUUAAAAACUUUUUUUCCUAUUUUACUGACUAGAAUCUUUAGAAUGCUAUUACUUGGAAUGGAUAAGCAAUGAGAUCCUGCUGUAGCACAGGGAACUAUAUCUAGUCACUUAUGAUGGAGGAUAAUGUGAGAAAAAGAAUGUAUGUACGUAUGUGUGAUGCAGUCACUUAGGUGUACAGUAGAAAACUGACAACACCAUAAACCAACUAUAAUGGAAAAAAUAAAAAUCAUUUUAAAAAAGGAAUGCUAUUAGUGUGGAGUUCCCGUUGUGGCUCAGCAGGUUAAGACCCAAACAUUGCCUCUGUGAGGAUUUGGGUUCAAUCCCUGGCCCGAUCAGUAGGUUAAGGAUCAAUCCAGCAUUGCUGCAAGCUGUGGUGUUGGUCACAGCUGCAGCUCCAGUACAACCCCUAGCCCAGGCACUUCCAUAUGCUUUAGGUGCAGCUGCAAGAAGAAAAAAGAAUGCUGUUCGUGGAGUCCCUGCUAUGGCACAACAGGUUCAAUGGUAUCAAUGCAGCACCAGGACACAGGUUUGAUCCCCAGCCCCACACAGUGGGUCAUACAUCUGGUGUCAUCAUAGCUGCAGCCUAAGUCACAUCUGUGGCUUGGGUCUGAUCCCUGGCCUAGGAACUCCAACAUAGUUCAUAGAGUGGCCCCCAAAACAAACAAAAAAACAAAACAAAAAGAAAAGAAAAAGAAUGCUAUUAGUUAUAGUUCAUGUGAGAACUCCAAAUGUUUCUUCUUUUUCAAAUUAAAAAAAAAAUUUCUUUAUUUUAGGUUCAUUACAUUUAAUUGUGAAUUUUAGAAGAAGUGGAUUAAUUUUGCCUGAAAAAAGUCCUGCUGAGCUUUUGACUAGGAUUAUGUUCAGUCUCUAAAGUGAUUUGAAGAGAACUGACAUCUUGGCAGUACGACAGGCUUCCAACAUAUGAACCUUUAAUCUUUUCAUUUAUUUAUGGCUUUUUCAAAUUCUCUCAGAAAUUUGGGGGGUGAAGAACACACCAUUAAGAAUGCUAUUUGCAUUGUAUCUCAGGGUUAACAACCCAGCUAGUAUCCAUGAGGCCACAGGUUCCAUCCCUGGCCUUGCUCUGGGUUAAGGAUCCUGUGUUGCUGUCAUCUGUGGUGUAGGUCUCAGACCUGGCUCAGACCCUGCAUUGCUAUGGCUGUGGUGUAGGCCAGCAGCUGCAGUUCCCAUUUGACCCUAGCCUAGGAACUUCCAUAUGCCCUGGCUGUGGCCCUAAAAAGACAAAAGAAAAAAUAUUCUUUGUUUUAUAUAUUUUAUAUUAAAAGUAAAUAAUGAAUUUCAACAAUUUUUUUUUUGCAAAUAGCGAGGUGAUCCUUUUUUCUUUUUCAAUUGUUUAAUAUGACAUUGAUUUUGAAUGUUAACUUAUAUCCUUGGAAUGAUCCUCCUUCAUCAUGAUAUGUUAUCUUUAUUACACAGCUUAAAUACAGCUUGCUAAAUAUGCAUUUAGAAUUUCUGACUCUAUGAUGAAUAUUGGUCUGUAGCUUUCUGUUCUUGUGGUAUUAAUUUGACCGACAGUGUAUUUCAUUUUUCCAGUGGUAUGUGACAGCAUUUACUGUUGUUGUCAUAUGUUUUACUUUUGCAUGUACAUUAUAAACUUCCCAUUACACUCCUGUCAUUUUUGAGUAAACCAAUUAUUUUUAAAGGUAUUAAAAUAAGAACAAAUAGAUGGCUUUAUCAAGGAGCUACCACGGUGUUCUUCACUCUUGUUUAAAUGCAGAAUGUAAAUGCAUUUUCCUUCUGCCUGAAGGAAUUCUUUGGACAUUCAUUAUAGUGCUGGUAUGCUGGUCAUGAAUCCUUGCAAGUUUUGUAUAUCUGAAAAUGCAUUUUCUUCACCGUUGCUUGAUUUAAAGAUAUUUUUGCUAGGUAUAGAACUCUAUGAGAUGAUUUUUGUUUUCCUUUUGUUUGUUUGUUUUUAAGUACUUUAAAUAUGUUUGUUACUGAGAAGAAAUCUAAAGUUAUUUUUGUCUCUCCAUACAAAAUGAUUUUCUUUUCUUCUGUUACUUGUAAAAACUUUAUAUCUAUCAUUCGUUUUGAGCAAUUUCAUUAUGAUGUGCCUUGGGAAAUUUUUUUCUCAUCUUUUACACUUAGAGUUUGUUGAGAUUGUUGCAUCUAUAGCCUUAUAGCUUUUUUUUUUUUUAAAGUCUUGAAAAUUUCUGGCCAUUAUUCAUUCAAAUUAUUUUUCAGUCCUCUUCUCUUUCCUCUCCUUUGGCAAUUCCAAUCACCCAUGUAUUAGGAUAUUUGAUAUGGUACUAUAGUUCAUUUCUGCUCUUUUUUCUCUGUAUAUGCAGUUGACCUUUGAAGAACUUAGGGGGUUAGGGACAGUUGCAUUUGGAAUAGCCCCCUGUAACUUUAUAGUUUGCCCUAAAUACCCAUGGUUUUGCCUCUGCAGAUGCAACCAACCACAGACCAUAUAGUACUCCAGUAUUUAUUUUUAAAAAUCUUGUUGUGUUCCCAUUGUGGCUCAGUGGAAACAAGCCCGACUAGUAUCCAUGAGGAUGUGAGUUUGAUCCCUGGCCUUGCUCAGUGGGUUAAGGAUCUGGCAUUUCCAUGAGCUGUGGUAUGGGUCACAGGCAUAGCUUGGAUCCCACCUUGCUGUGGCUGUGAUGUAGGCUGGCAGCUGCAGCUCCAAUUCGACCCCUGGCCUGGGUGUGGCCCUUAAAAAAGCAAAAAAAAAAAAUCUUGGCAUUAGCAUAUUCACACUGAGGUCUAUGGAAUGACUGGCCAGUGGAGACCUGUGGUCUAUCACAGAGAACUCUACCCAAUAUGCUGUGAUCAUCUAUGUGGGAAAAGAUUCUGAAAGAGAAUGGAUCAAUCCCUUGGUUUUACAGCAGAAAGUAUCACCACCUUGUAAAUCAACUCUACCUCAAUAAAAC